UCUCCACCCGAGACUCAGUGAAAUUGAACUCGCUGUGAAGAUGCAGUGUACCCGCGGCAAGACGGAAAGACCCCGUGAACCUUUACUAUAGCUUGACACUGAACAUUGAGCCUUGAUGUGUAGGAUAGGUGGGAGGCUUUGAAGUGUGGACGCCAGUCUGCAUGGAGCCGACCUUGAAAUACCACCCUUUAAUGUUUGAUGUUCUAACGUGGACCCGUUACCCGGGUUGCGGACAGUGUCUGGUGGGUAGUUUGACUGGGGCGGUCUCCUCCUAAAGAGUAACGGAGGAGCACGAAGGUUGGCUAAUCCUGGUCGGACAUCAGGAGGUUAGUGCAAUGGCAUAAGCCAGCUUGACUGCGAGCGUGACGGCGCGAGCAGGUGCGAAAGCAGGUCAUAGUGAUCCGGUGGUUCUGAAUGGAAGGGCCAUCGCUCAACGGAUAAAAGGUACUCCGGGGAUAACAGGCUGAUACCGCCCAAGAGUUCAUAUCGACGGCGGUGUUUGGCACCUCGAUGUCGGCUCAUCACAUCCUGGGGCUGAAGUAGGUCCCAAGGGUAUGGCUGUUCGCCAUUUAAAGUGGUACGCGAGCUGGGUUUAGAACGUCGUGAGACAGUUCGGUCCCUAUCUGCCGUGGGCGCUGGAGAACUGAGGGGGGCUGCUCCUAGUACGAGAGGACCGGAGUGGACGCAUCACUGGUGUUCGGGUUGUCAUGCCAAUGGCACUGCCCGGUAGCUAAAUGCGGAAGAGAUAAGUGCUGAAAGCAUCUAAGCACGAAACUUGCCCCGAGAUGAGUUCUCCCUGAGACUUAGAGUCUCCUGAAGGAACGUUGAAGACGACGACGUUGAUAGGCCGGGUGUGUAAGCGCAGCGAUGCGUUGAGCUAACCGGUACUAAUGAACCGUGAGGCUUAACCUUACAACGCCGAAG
rnacentral:rRNA from 1 species